rnacentral:lncRNA from 10 species
GGGAGCUAAAUACUGAAUACCCACGGACACAAAGAAGGGAACAGACACCAGGGAGACACCAGGGCCUACUGGAGGAUGGAAAGUUGAAGGAGGCUAAGGAUUGAAAAACUACCUAUAAAUACACAGAUACUAUGCCUGUUAACUGGAUGACAAAAUAAUAUGGACACUGAAUCCCCAUGACAUGGAAUUUAUCUAUGGAACCAACCUGCACAUGUACCCCUAAAACAAAAAUAAAAGUUAAAAAAAAAAAAGAGAG